rnacentral:misc_RNA from 1 species
CUGCCGCUCUCUCACAACAGGAGUCGAUCAAAAGCCCCUCGCUUACCCUUCUCUUACCACCACCUCGACACUCCCCCCACCAAUCCAAUUGCUUCGCUUUUUUCUUUCUCCUGUUCCACACUAUAAAUACCAAAUGAAGGGGAAGAGGAAGGCAGCCGCAAGCCCCAAUAUGGCCUUGACCGAUGUUUUAGUGGAUGCCCAGAACAUGGUAGAGGUUCUUGUUCAAAGUGGGAAUGCUGAACGAGAUGGGGUUGAUGAAAAUGGUGAGAAUCGGGAAGGUGAAGGAGAGGAAGAGGAAGAGGAGGAUGAUGAUGACGAUGAGGACGAGGAUGAGAAAGGAGAAGAAGAAAGGCCUAAGCUCGACGAGGGUUUCUUCGAAAUCGAGGCUAUUCGACGCAAAAGGGUCCGCAAGGGUCAGCUUCAAUAUCUCAUAAAAUGGCGAGGCUGGCCAGAAACGGCC